rnacentral:rRNA from 1 species
UACGAAGGGGGCUAGCGUUGUUCGGAAUUACUGGGCGUAAAGCGCGCGUAGGCGGACAUUUAAGUCAGGGGUGAAAUGCCGGGGCUCAACCUCGGAACUGCCUUUGAUACUGGAUGUCUGGAGUUCGGGAGAGGUGAGUGGAAUUCCGAGUGUAGAGGUGAAAUUCGUAGAUAUUCGCAAGAACACCAGUGGCGAAGGCGGCUCACUGGCCCGGUACUGACGCUGAGGCACGAAAGCGUGGGGAGCAAACAGG